GCAAAUGACGACAACCAUCAAUCUUCUUUUAAAAAGUUUGGUUGGGAUGUGAGUCCUCAAGACACAUUUUCUUUCUCUAUAUAAAAUGUCUCUCCAUGGAGCGAUACAGACUCCAGUAUAACAUAAACGUGUCAUAAAGUGUGUCGAAUUGUCAGUGCUCGCACUGUGCAGCAACGGUAUCCAAUGACAACGCUAUAAACUAUGCAGAUUCAUACAACUAUAUCAAGUGGCUCCAAUAAUUGGUCGCAGUGGAGUGCCAGAUCUGUCAAUCUGAGACAGGGGGAGCGGUUCAGCUAGGCGUGUAGUUGGCCGAUGAAUA
rnacentral:sRNA from 1 species